rnacentral:rRNA from 1 species
CCCGCUUGAAGAUGGGCUCGCGUCCGAUUAGAUAGUUGGUGAGGUAACGGCUCACCAAGUCGACGAUCGGUAGCCGGACUGAGAGGUUGAACGGCCACAUUGGGACUGAGACACGGCCCAGACUCCUACGGGAGGCAGCAGUGGGGGAUAUUGCACAAUGGGCGAAAGCCUGAUGCAGCGACGCCGCGUGAGGGAAGACGGCCUUCGGGUUGUAAACCUCUGUCAUUCGGGACGAAUAGAUGACGGUACCGAAGAAGGAAGCUCCGGCUAACUAC